UUACUUGACAAUUUGAUGCAGAGAGACGAAGAUCAGAUGCAAUCUUUUUGGACGACAGUAGUCGUGCUUAUUGGAUAUUAACAUGUUUUGGUCAUUCAAACUUACUACUUCAAUUCAGGAGGUGGGAAGUCCAGAACAAAUUGACUAAAGGAUAAGAGGUUUAGUUAUAGUGCUGAAGAGAUGCAAGUGGUUGAAAAGUACAUUUCUUCUGUAAGACUCAAUAGACACAAGCGCAUUAAGCUUGCUGAUCAAACAAAGGUGAAGAGCACUUCUGAAUUUGAAGCAGAUUCAAGCUCCAACGAUGACACACCACCUGCUACAAUUGAUAACUAAACUGGAUUUCAAACAUGAGACCGCCUUAUUACAAUAUGUUAGAGAAAGAUCGACUUAGAAAAAAUUUAAAUUUGUUCCAAAAUUUCCAGUAUCUGGACCGCUCAUUAAAUGAAAAGGAUCCAGUUUCAAUACAGAUUUUUCCGUUGAAUUCCUUCUACAAUACCAUACUGCGCGCGGAUAUGUGGUGACUAAAUGCUCAGGCUAGUCUUGAAUAUGAUAGUUUACAAACUAAAGUCAGUAUGUGUAUGUUUGCUUGUCAGCAGGUAGCUAAUCAAAGAUAAUCCUGAGGUGA